rnacentral:rRNA from 1 species
UACGUAGGGGGCAAGCGUUGUCCGGAAUUACUGGGCGUAAAGCGCGUGUAGGCGGGACGGCAAGUCUGGGGUGAAAGGCUCGGGCUCAACCCGAGAUGGCCGCUGGAAACUGCCGUUCUUGAGGGUCGAAGAGGAGAGUGGAAUUCCUGGUGUAGCGGUGAAAUGCGUAGAGAUCAGGAGGAACACCCAUGGCGAAGGCAGCUCUCUGGUCGACCUCUGACGCUGAGACGCGAAAGCGUGGGGAGCGAACGGG